rnacentral:rRNA from 1 species
UGGGGAAUAUUGCGCAAUGGGCGAAAGCCUGACGCAGCGACGCCGCGUGAGGGAAGAAGGCUCUCGGGUCGUAAACCUCUGUCAGAAGGGAAGAACCCCCGGAAAAAGAUAACGUUUCCGGGCUGACGGUACCUUCAGAGGAAGCACCGGCUAAUUCCGUGCCAGCAGCCGCGGUAAUACGGAAGGUGCGAGCGUUAAUCGGAAUCACUGGGCGUAAAGCGCGCGUAGGCGGCCCUUUAAGUCGGACGUGAAAGCCCACGGCUCAACCGUGGAAUUGCGUUCGAUACUGGUGGGCUUGAGUCCUGGAGGGGGUGGCGGAAUUCCGGGUGUAGGAGUGAAAUCCGUAGAUAUCCGGAGGAACACCGGUGGCGAAGGCGGCCACCUGGACAGGUACUGACGCUGAGGUGCGAAAGCGUGGGGAGCAAACAGGAUUAGAUACCCCCGUAGUCC